UACAGAGGGCUCAAGCGUUGUUCGGAUUCAUUGGGCGUAAAGGGUGCGUAGGUGGCGCGGUAAGUUGGGUGUGAAAUCUCGGAGCUUAACUCCGAAAUUGCAUUCGAUACUGCCGUGCUCGAGGACUGGAGAGGAGACUGGAAUUCAUGGUGUAGCAGUGAAAUGCGUAGAGAUCAUGAGGAAGACCAGUGGCGAAGGCGGGUCUCUGGACAGUUCCUGACACUGAGGCACGAAGGCCAGGGGAGCAAACGGG
rnacentral:rRNA from 1 species